rnacentral:rRNA from 1 species
AUUGAACGCUGGCGGCAUGCCUUACACAUGCAAGUCGAACGGCAGCGGGGGAGAAGCUUGCUUUUCCUGCCGGCGAGUGGCGAACGGGUGAGUAAUACAUCGGAACGUGCCCUGUAGUGGGGGAUAACUAGUCGAAAGAUUAGCUAAUACCGCAUACGACCUGAGGGUUAAAGUGGGGGACCGCAAGGCCUCAUGCUAUAGGAGCGGCCGAUGUCUGAUUAGCUAGUUGGUGGGGUAAAGGCCUACCAAGGCGACGAUCAGUAGCUGGUCUGAGAGGACGAUCAGCCACACUGGGACUGAGACACGGCCCAGACUCCUACGGGAGGCAGCAGUGGGGAAUUUUGGGCAAUGGGCGAAAGCCUGAUCCAGCAAUGCCGCGUGUGUGAAGAAGGCCUUCGGGUUGUAAAGCACUUUUGUCCGGAAAGAAAUGGCUCUGGUUAAUACCUGGGGUCGAUGACGGUACCGGAAGAAUAAGGACCGGCUAACUACGUGCCAGCCGCCGCCGUAC